rnacentral:lncRNA from 1 species
UGCCGUACUGUACGCUUAGGCUCUCUCAAUAUUCAUUUUUGAACUACUUAUAUAUUCCCUGUUCCAUAACAUGAGUCAUUUAUAGAUUGUUAAUUUAGCUAACUAAAUAUAAAUUAAAUAAUUUAAAAAAUAUAUCAUUAGAAAGUUCUUUCGAUAACGAACCUAAUGGUGUACUUUUUGUUAAGAAACAUACAUAUUUAAUUAAUCAAAUUGAGAACUUAGGAAUGCGUGCGUGCCUCAUAUUAUGGGACAGAGGAAUUACGCAUCCUAUGGCCUUUCCGAUUUUCCGAAUCACAUCUUGACAUCAUAAAAGAAAAGAAAAGAAAAACAGAAUUUGGAACAAACGAACAGAUGGCGCGCAGUUAAGAAAAUACUGUGUGACGCACUCGUGGAAGAAUAAUAAGAGAAUGUGGGUCGUUAAAAGAAGUCAGGAACAUGCAUGAUCGGAUCAGCUGCACGGCCUUCAGGAACCUGAUUCCGCAAAAGCGAGAACCACGUACCCUGCGUGAUCUGAUUCUUGGUUACUCAAUAAACUACUCAGUAUUACCACUUUCCAUUGAGCUAAAUAAAGCCGG